AACGAACGCUGGCGGCAUGCCUAACACAUGCAAGUCGAACGAAAACUUCGGGUCUAUUGGCGCACGUGUGCGUAACGCGUGGGAAGCUGCACUUAGGUUCCGUAUACCUCACCGUAAGGGGUGCUAAUAAAGGUUGAUGUAUUCGGAGCAAAGAUUUCUUGCCUUUGGAUGGGCCCGCGUUGGAUUCGCUAGUUGGUAGUGUAAAAGCCUACCAAGGCGACGAUCCAGAGCUGGUCUGUGAGGAUGCUCAUCCACGCUUGGACUGCGACACGGCCCAGACCCCUACGCAAGGGAGGAGUAGAGAGUAUAGGGCGCGGGAGCCAAGUCUGAUACAGCCAUGCCGCGUGAGUGAGGAGUGGCUUAGUGUUCUGAAGCUCUUUUACCCGGGACGAGAAUGACAGUACCGGGUGAAUAAGCACCGGCUAACUCCGUG
rnacentral:rRNA from 1 species